GACGUAGGAUGCGAGCGUUAUUCGGAUUUAUUGGGCGUAAAGCGUGCGUAGGCGGCUAUUUAAGUCUGGUGUUAAAGCUAGGGGCUCAACCCCUGUGAUGCACUGGAUACUGGGUAGCUUGAGUGCGGUAGGGGAAGGUGGAAUUCCGAGUGUAGCGGUGAUAUGCGUAGAUAUCGGGAGGAACACCAGUGGCGAAGGCGGCUCUCUGGGCCCUACCUGACGCUGAGACGCGAAAGCGUGGGGAGCGAACCGG
rnacentral:rRNA from 1 species